UGCCGCAGCUAUAUCACCCUGCAGCCCAAGACCGGUUACUCACUGAAGCUAAGCAGGGCUGAGCCUGGUCAGUUCCUGGAUGGGAGACCACUAGGGAACACUAGGUUGCUGUUGGAA
rfam:Danio rerio chromosome 18, GRCz11 reference primary assembly.